rnacentral:rRNA from 1 species
AAUCGCCAGGGAACUACGAGCAAAGCUUAAAACCCAAAGGACUUGACGGUACCCCAUAUCCACCUAGAGGAGCCUGUCCUAUAAUCGAUAACCCCCGCUAAACCUCACCACUUCUAGCCCAUCAGCCUGUAUACCUCCGUCGUCAGCUUACCACGUGAGCGCAACCUAGUGAGCUUAAUGCCAUACGCCAACACGUCAGGUCAAGGUGCAACAUAUGAGAUGGGAAGAGAUGGGCUACACUCUCUAAUUUAGAAAAUACGGAAGACUACCUAUGAAACCUAGUCUAAGGCGGAUUAGAAGUAAAAGAAACCAGAGAGUUCUUUUACUGGCAUGGGUGUGU